UGAAAGAACUGGUGAAGCAAAGAAGCAAGGUUCUUCUUUAGGUCAUCUGUCUGCAGACUGAAUAGUAAGAGCUGUUGCCAUGUCACCUGGAUUGGGCAGGGACAACAACCAUGAAUAAAUACUGGCAUAUAGGCAUAUUUCUGUGUACAGGUGUCAAAAAUUGGAAACAAGAGCUUCAUUGGAACUGAUAUAUAGCACUGGGACUGGAUGUGGGAAACUCAACUUCAGAUCAUAUGCAUCUCUAAUAACCAUUCCCAUUCACAUGUAUGGUACAAGGUUGUUCAAAAAUAAAAUGCUCUUAUAAUUUCAAAAUAAAAUAAACAAUGACAAUGUGUUGUCAAA